GAUGAAGAACGUAGCGAAAUGCGAUAAGUAAUGUGAAUUGCAGAAUUCAGUGAAUCAUCGAAUCUUUGAACGCACAUUGCGCCCGGUAGUAAUCCGCCGGGCAUGCCUGUCCGAGCGUCAUUUCAACCCUCGAACCACUAUUCGCGUAGCUGGAUCGGUGUUGGGGCACUACGGUGGAAUACCCGUAGGCCCCGAAAUGAAGUGGCGGUCCCGCCGCGGCGCCCCCAUGCGUAGUAACAUCUCGUCUCGCAUCGGGUCCCGGCGGAGGCCUGCCGUCAAGCCUAUUUUCUAAUUACAGAUGGUUUGACCUCGGAUCAGGUAGGGUUACCCGCUGAACUUAAGCAUAUCAAUAAGCGGAGGA
rnacentral:misc_RNA from 1 species